UUCUGGUUGUGUAUGUGAAUGACAUUAUUAUCACUAGGGAUGAUGUUGCUGAACUUUCUACCCUCAUAGUCUUCUUGGAUGACCAAUUCAGAAUCAAAGACCUUGGGUCUCUGCACUAUUUCUGGCCAUUGAGGUGUCAUCUGUUGCUGGUGAUGUGCUCCUUAAUCAGCACAAGUUUAUUUCUGACUUGCUGCAUCAGUUUGACUAUGUGGCUGUCUCCCCUGUAGUCUGUCCUUUGGACCUCAAUACCAAAUUGCAUGCUGAUUCUGGUGAUCUUUUUCCUUCUCCUGAUCAUUACAGGAGCUUGAUUGGCAAGCUCCUCUUCUUGACUAAUACUCGACCUGACAUAUGUUUUGUUGUGCAACAUUUAAGUCAGUUUUUGAAAGCUCCCAGAAUCCCUAUUGGCAAGCUCCUAUUCUUGACACAUACCCGACCUAACAUCUGUUUUGCUGUUCAGCAUUUGAGUCGGUUUUUGAAUACCUCACAUGUCUGUUGCUCUACAUGUUCUUAGGUAUCUUAUGGUUCUAUGGAUUUGGGCUCUUCUACUCUGAUAGUCCUAAUUUUGCAGUCACUGCAUUUUCA
rnacentral:lncRNA from 1 species